AGGAAAUACAUUUGUUUUGCUUUGCUGGUUUCAAUUAUUCUGAAAGAGCUUUUAUUUUUAUGGAACACUGAAGAUUUUUAAAAAGUUUUAAACAAUUUAUUGGGCAAUUGGACCAUUUAAAAUGAUGUGUGAACAUUUAGCUUAAAUAUAGGAACUAUUAGCACAUCAUUGAUAAGCUUACAGGGAGACAUUAAAACAAGAUUAAUCUGUACUUUAGGUCCACGUUCCCAGAGGCCUAGAGAAAUCUACUGUAGACCUAAACCAGAUAAAGCUGUGGGCUGUGGGACUCCGUAGUUUCUCUACUUUCUGGUUCAUUUGUGCUUUCUGUAGGAAAUCUGUAUUUCUGAGAGGUCUGCAGUGAAUUAUUCAUAGUCAAAUAUUUCCAACUGUAGUUUACUACCAUGGGAGAAAAUAGGUUGUUUUCUUGCUCUUAGAAUCUCUUGGUUCUCAUUGGACUUGUUCAACAUUGCUUAAUUAAUCUUCCUUUAAUUCUCUCUCCCUGACAAGUAAUCCUUUUUCCUAAAACCUUCAUCAAGCGCCAUUGGGGAUACUAGCAUGGCAGCUCUCCUUCUCUACCCAGCUUCAACCAGUCUUCAAAUGUACAAAACACUUCCUUGCUGUACAUCUCCUUAUUCUCUUUUCUACAAGGAUCCAGUGAGAUCAUCAGGUAUGACUGCCUCUGCAUAGAGAAGAAGAUACUUUCAAAGCUAUUUUAGGUUUAUUGUUGCCAUGAAGAUUUAACUUAAACACUCUAAAAUGUAGUCAGUUCAUUGAAUUUUUUUUUCCUCUAGGCUUCUGAAAUGCAAAUGCUGAACAGAGGUUGGUCCUUUUCAGAGAUUUUGGGAUGAUGUAGCUAAUAGGAGUGAGCUGGAACACAGAGAUUUCUAUGAGAUGGGGGAGGCAGAAAGGACUCUUGUUCCAGGGUCAAAUUGUCCAAGGCUGAGCUUUGCUUGUCUUUCUUGGGUGAAUCUCUUUAAUACCUUCUCUUUUUCUCUGCUUUCCUUGUGUAUGUCCACUGUCCCUGACACUUACAGAAAAGGGUACGUUUUAUGUGAACCGCUUUUCCACUGUGCCCCUUUAACUUUCCCCAUUGCAUGAUUCUCUGUCUUAUCAGUUGACCAUGUUCACACAGACAGUAUUUCUUCUACUUGCUUGUUGUGCUGAUAUACAUGAUUUAUGUAGCUAGGUAAAAUCUAGGAUCCACGUAUUUAUCACACACAGCGUAUGACAUGUAUCUUUUUGGAAACUAAAAAUUGGAGAUAACCAUGAUCUUUGACUGUCAAAAUUUGAGUAAAUUGGUUUAUUUUUUGACAGUCUCAUAAAUACAUGUGUAUAGGUUAGGUAUUAGAAUUAUAUUUACCCUCACUAUUCACUGUUUUUUUUUCCCCUGCCUUUUCCUCUGAAGGCUUUUUAAAGAUUCCCACCUAGUUUCAAAAUGGCUGACCCAUCAGAUAAAUGAACCUCCUGCUUGAGCAACCAUUAUCACCAUAGGAAGGAUGGGGUCUCUUAUAUCUAACUUUCUGUCAGUGUUCUCUGUGCCACCAGUGUCUGUUCUUCCAUUAUAACUAUUUGAAGCACAAGAUUUUCCCUUUGCAAUACAAUUUUUUUUUCAGAAUUAAAACUUACACCCAUUUUUUUAACCAAAGGGAGACUAACAACACCCGGAAUAAGCACUGAGAAACUAUGAACACCAUGCAUGGGCUGGGUAGUUCCUCUGUGUCUGCUUUUGGGUACCUUGAUUAUUUAUUUUAGAAUUCUUAUCUAUAAUUAUCCAAAAAGGAGCCCUUCUGUAAUUUGAAUGUAAGGAUGCAGGAAGUACUAUGUCAUGAGCUAUUUUUAAGAGAUACCUGCUCAAAUUUUGAUUGGCUUAUAACUAUGGUCCCUAUCAAGUCUUCAAAGUUCAUUUUUAACACAUGACUCUCUUUGAUUGGUUAGAAAACUUCAUGUUAGUUCGUGGUGGUACAUGCCUUUAAUCCCAACAUUCAGUAGGCAGAGGCAGAUGGAUCUCUGUGAGUUUGAGACUAACCUGAUCUACAGAGUGAGUUCUAGGACAUAUACCUAAACAUAAUAAUAGAAACAAUAUACAGCAAACCAACAGCCAACAUCAAAUUAAAUGGAGAGAAACUUGAAAGUAUCCCACUAAAAUCAUGGACAAGAUAAGGCUGUCCACUCUCUUCCUAUGCAGUCAAUAUAGUACAAUGAGUUCUAGCUUGAACAAUUAGAUAACAAAAGGAGAUCAAAGGGAUACAAAUUGGAAAGGAAGAAGUCAAAAUAUCACUAUUUGCAGAUGAUAUGAUAGUGCACAUAAGAACCCCAAAAAUUCUACCAGAGAAUACCUACACUUGAUAAACAACUUCAACAAAGUAACUAGAUAUAAAAUUUUAACUCAAACAUAUCAGUAACCUUUCUCUACAUAAAGGGUAAAUGGACUGAGAAAGAAAUUAGCGAAACAACACCCUUCACAAUAGUCACAAUAGAACAGAAUAUCUUGGUGUAACUCUGACCAAGCAAGUGAAAGAUCUCUAUGACAAGAACUUCAAGUCUCUGAAGAAAGAAAUCAAAGAAGACCUCAGAAGAUGAAAAGAUGCUUAUGGAUCGGUAGAUUUAACCUAGUAAAAAUGGUCAUCAUACUAAAAGCAAUCAACAGAUUCAAUGCAAUCCCCAUCAAAAUCCCAACUCAAUUCUUCACAGAGAUGGAAAGAGCAAUGCUCAAAUUCAUCUGGAAUAACAAAAAACCCAGAAUAGUGAAAAUAAUUCUCAAUAAUAAAAGAACUUUAGGGGUAAUCCCCACUCAAGACCUCAAGCUAUACUACAAAGCAAUAGUGAUAAAAACCACAUGGUAUCAGUACAGAGACAGACAGGUAAAUCAAUGGAAUAGAAUCAAAGACCCAGAAAUAUACUCAAACACCUAUGGACACUUGAUCUUUGACAAGGAAGGCAAAACCAUACAGUGGAAAAAAGACAGCAUCUUCAACAAAUGCUGCUUGUCUAACUGGCAGUCUGCAUGUACAAGGACGCAAAUUGAUCCAUUUUUAUCUCCUUAUACAAAGCUGAAGUCUAAGUGGUUCAAGGAACUCCACAUAAAACCAGAUACUCUGAAUCUAACAGAAAAGAAAGUGGGAAAGAGCCUUGAACACAUCAGCACAGGGAAAAAUUUCCUAAACAACACCAAUGGCCCAGGCCUUAAGAUCAACAAUGGGACCUCAUGAAACUGAAAAGUUUCUGUAAGGCAAAGGACACUGUCAAUUGGACAAAUGCCAACCUACAGAUUGGGAAAUAAUAUUCACUAACCCUAUAUCUGAUAGAGAGCUAAUAUCCAAAAUAUACUAAUAAUUCAAGAAGUUAGACUCCAGAAAACCAAAUAUGCCAAAUAAAAAAUGUGGUACAGAGC
rnacentral:lncRNA from 1 species